AAAGUAACCACCCUCCCAAUCAGUCUACAAUACCAUAUAUGUUACAGUCAAUCCAUCCAAUUUGAGAAGAAAAUAUAUUACAAGGUAAAAACAUAACCACUACUUUUAUCCUUAUAAUCCAUCUUUACUAAUUAUGUGAGAUCUUUAGAUAGCGAUCAAAAAAACACCCAAAUAAAACAAACUAACAUGCCUUGAAGUCUUAUACCUUAUUAUACAUGUGAGGGAAAACAAGGGAUGUAAAGUCAUGUAUUCUCUUUGCAAUAUAGGCGGAUGAGGAUACUAAAAUAAGAGAGAGAGAGAGAGAG
rnacentral:misc_RNA from 1 species